rnacentral:misc_RNA from 1 species
ACGAGUUAGGGUCUUCUCAGGCCCGACCUCCCAACCCUUUGUUUACCCGACCCAUGUUGCUUCGGCGGGCCCGCCGUUUCGACGGCCGCCGGAGGACCGCCUAUUCAGGUCCUCUGGCCCGCGCCCGCCGGUAGCCAAUUCUACCAAACUCUUGAAUCAAAUCGUGUCCAAUGUCUGAGUAUAUUACAAAAUAAAAGCA